rnacentral:tRNA from 1 species
AUUUAAAUAGUUUAAUUAAAAAUAUUGAUUUGUGGAAUCAAAGUUGUAAAUAUAUUAUUUUAAAUA